CCUACGGGUGGCAGCAGUGAGGAAUAUUGGUCAAUGGGCGCGAGCCUGAACCAGCCAAGUAGCGUGAAGGAUGACUGCCCUAUGGGUUGUAAACUUCUUUUAUAGAGGAAUAAAACAUGGUACGUAUACCUUCUUGUAUGUACCUUAUGAAAAAGGAUAGGCUAAAUCCGUGCCAGCAGCCGCGGUAAUACGGAGGAUACGAGCGUUAUCCGGAUUUAUUGGGUUUAAAGGGAGCGUAGGUGGGUUGUUAAGUCAGUUGUGAAAGUUUGCGGCUCAACCGUAAAAUUGCAGUUGAUACUGGCAGUCUUGAGUGCAGUAGAGGUAGGCGGAAUUCGUGGUGUAGCGGUGAAAUGCUUAGAUAUCACGAAGAACUCCGAUUGCGAAGGCAGCUUACUGGACUGCAACUGACGCUGAUGCUCGAAAGUGUGGGUAUCAAACAGGAUUAGAUACCCCAGUAGUC
rnacentral:rRNA from 1 species